rnacentral:rRNA from 1 species
UACGUAGGGUGCAAGCGUUGUCCGGAAUUAUUGGGCGUAAAGAGCUCGUAGGCGGUUUGUCGCGUCUGCUGUGAAAUCCCAGGGCUUAACCCUGGGCCUGCAGUGGGUACGGGCAGACUAGAGUACUGCAGGGGAGACUGGAAUUCCUGGUGUAGCGGUGGAAUGCGCAGAUAUCAGGAGGAACACCGGUGGCGAAGGCGGGUCUCUGGGCAGUAACUGACGCUGAGGAGCGAAAGCGUGGGGAGCGAACAGG